CCAUUUUUCACCUUAGUAACGGUCCGCAUGUUUUGUUUCUUUCAUCGCUACGGGAAACUUAGAGUUGCUGAACCACAAGAACCGUCUACCUACUCAGUGGAAUUCAUAAUGACACUCUACUGGAGUAUGUGUCUCUGCAAAGCUUCACAAAGAGGACCACCACCUCACCAGUUAAGGCGAUACAGCUGCUGUUCCACUGGCAGGGGACAGGUCACAUUGUCUGUAAUGGAUUUCUCUACUACCACAAGGCAGAUACACCCAACCAGAUAGUGAAGGCAUCCUCUCUGGCUUCUCAGAUUGUUCCUGCCAGACAACGGGUCCAUCCACCAGAGAUAAGUCAAGUCCCGCAAAGACAGUGACUACGGUAAAUGUGAACCUAAUUUGUAAAAUCAUCAACAUUAUUAUUGCAUGUAAGCCACAAAUAAAGAUUAUGUUUACAGUGCGACACAUUUACAUACUAAGACAUAGCAGUUAUAUCCAAUUUUCUCUCCAUCUUUAUGUUAACUUAUACUGCGUGUAUUUAUGUACAAUCAGGCCCCACGGGUUUCAUCAGGUGAUUGCUCAUUGCCAUAGAACUGCAGCUGUUCAAAUUUCAAUUUCUUCUCUAGUCCAUAUUUGAAUUAACAGUUAAUUGAAAGUUAAUUCUUGUUCUUUCCUGGUGUAUAGUUUACACCAAUGGACCUGUUCGUAUACCAUAUGUGUGACGUGUGAUAGGGUAUCAAACACAACAUUUUUUUACACAUACAGUAACAUUUCCAAACAUCGGUUCCUGUAUUUUUAAAGGAGAUGAAUCUUGAUUCACACUACUGCUUUGAGUUAGGACGUGUUUGUAAAUACUGCUCUAAACAUUGUAUUCUUUAUGCACAUAAACUGGGUCCUUACCGUUACAUUUUCACUUGCUUCUGUACGUUUCCUUCAGCAACAUUUGUUGCUUUGCACCAUGGUAAUAGUUUUGCUUUUUAAAUGUUAUAAACUAAAUAAUACAUUGGACAGUAAUUGUU